rnacentral:rRNA from 1 species
GACGAACGCUGGCGGCGUGCUUAACACAUGCAAGUCGAACGGAAAGGCCCUGCUUUUGUGGGGUGCUCGAGUGGCGAACGGGUGAGUAACACGUGAGUAACCUGCCCUUGACUUUGGGAUAACUUCAGGAAACUGGGGCUAAUACCGGAUAGAAGCUCCUGCUGCAUGGUGGGGGUUGGAAAGUUUCGGCGGUUGGGGAUGGACUCGCGGCUUAUCAGCUUGUUGGUGGGGUAGUGGCUUACCAAGGCUUUGACGGGUAGCCGGCCUGAGAGGGUGACCGGCCACAUUGGGACUGAGAUACGGCCCAGACUCCUACGGGAGGCACCAGUGGGGAAUAUUGCACAAUGGGCGGAAGCCUGAUGCAGCAACGCCGCGUGCGGGAUGACGGCCUUCGGGUUGUAAACCGCUUUCGCCUGUGACGAAGCGUGAGUGACGGUAAUGGGUAAAGAAGCACCGGCUAACUACGUG